rnacentral:rRNA from 1 species
UACAGAGGUCGUCAAGCGUUGUUCGGAUUCAUUGGGCGUAAAGGGUGCGUAGGCGGCGCGGUAAGUCGGGUGUGAAUCUCGGAGCUUAACUCCGAACUGCAUUCGAUACUGCCGUGACUUGAGGACUGGAGAGAGACUGGAAUUACGGUGUAGCGGUGAAAUGCGUAGAUAAUCGUAAGGAAGACCAGUGGCGAAGGCGGUCUCGUGGACAGUUCCUGACGCUGAGGCACGAAGGUCAGGGAGGCAAACGG